UUAGUUACUCUGGUGCGAGACAUCAUUUUAUUGAAUCAUAAGAUUCAUGUUCUUUAUGUGUAAAUAAAAAUAACACAAAUAUGUCAGAGGCUGAUUUUCUUGAAGUAUUGAAAAUGUUUAACACUUUUCUUGUACUCAUAGAAAAUCCGAGAGUUAGCCAAGAAACAAGUAUUGAGAAUGUUAUCAAAGCUUUUCAAUGUGCUCAGUUUAUUGAAGUCACAAUUGCUAAAGCAUAUGAAAUAGGCAAAGAAAAUGUCCUUGAUAAUAAUCUUCACAGCCAUUGGUUAAAGGAAAGUAGAUCAAAUUUGUAUAAAUGUUCUGAAUUGAAAAAUGCUUGUGAUAAAUUACUAGAGGUCUAUUUGAAAGACACUAACAUAUCAACUGAUAUUGUGGAUGAAUUUUUAAAAUUGUACAUUCAAUAUUGUGGCAAUGAGAGAUUCAAUGAUUUUCUUAGACGAAUAUUAGUUAAUGGAAUCUGUACAAAUAUAGUUAUAGAGUCUUUAGAAAAGUUAGGUGUCUCUGCUUUGGACAUGCAGGAUGAAGCUUUAAUCAUUUCUUGGGAAUCUUUAAUUAGUAAUGGUAAUGAGUAUGAGGUUUUGGAAUAUAUUCAUAAAAUGGUUAAUGAUGGUUUUCAUUCGAAAUUAGUUCACUUUGCUGCUAAUUUAUAUAACAACAGCAAAAGUAAGGCGUUAAUAGUUCAGGUAUUGUCAAACAGACUUGUCCACAAUGAUACAAAUGUUUGUUUAGCUCUUACAAAGGUAAAACAAAAAUUGCUUUGGAAGUUGAUGCAAAAAUAUUCAGAGUUUUACACAAAUUUCCUUGAUAGCAUAUUUUACUUUGCUCGUCAUAUGAAACAAGUUGAAAAUCAGUGGAUAUCAAAUUGUGAAUUCAAAUAUGAGCAUCUUGUCAAAGUAAUAGAAGUAUUAUUAAAUGGUCCUACAGAAAUUUCAGAAAUAAUGUACAACAGAAUGAAAUUAGUAAAAACACAUCCCAAUGGUACAAUAUGGCAUAAAAUUGAAAAAGAUAUUGGAUGACUUAGUGUGCCAGAUAAUACACCUUUCACUGCUGUAUUAAAAUUUGCUGCUGAAGAAUUUAAAGUAUCUCCAGCAACAUCUGCCAUAAUCACAGAUGAUGGAAUAGGUAUCAAUCCACAACAAACAGCAGGAAACAUUUUUCUUAAACAUGGAUCUGAACUCAGAUUAAUUCCAAGAGAUAGAGUUGGAUAAUUACUUCUUAAAAUAAACAUCUAUAUAUAAAUUAUUUCUUUGUUGCACUUCUCACCAAUAAGUGUAAAAAAGGAACUACUUUUUCAUAUAAAAUUUGUUGUUCACAUAAAUUUAAAUAAAACAUUCCUGAAGUUUUAUAAAUUGUA